GGUGCGGUGUUUUAAUUGGCAAACUACGGGUAAAUAUUUAUGAUGAAAUUCUCUGAAAAAGGACUAAUCGUCAUAUACUUCCAACUAACCCGUGAUGUUGGUUCGAAUCCAGCCCGCACCC
rnacentral:tRNA from 1 species